GGGGAAUUUUGGACAAUGGGCGCAAGCCUGAUCCAGCCAUGCCGCGUGCAGGAUGAAGGCCUUCGGGUUGUAAACUGCUUUUGUACGGAACGAAAAGACUCUGGUUAAUACCUGGGGUCCAUGACGGUACCGUAAGAAUAAGCACCGGCUAACUACGUGCCAGCAGCCGCGGUAGUACGUAGGGUGCGAGCGUUAAUCGGAAUUACUGGGCGUAAAGCGUGCGCAGGCGGUUAUAUAAGACAGAUGUGAAAUCCCCGGGCUCAACCUGGGAACUGCAUUUGUGACUGUAUAGCUAGAGUACGGCAGAGGGGGAUGGAAUUCCGCGUGUAGCAGUGAAAUGCGUAGAUAUGCGGAGGAACGCCGAUGACGAAGGCAAUCCCCUGGGCCUGUACUGACGCUCAUGCACGAAAGCGUGGGGAGCAAAC
rnacentral:rRNA from 1 species